UACGGGGGGGGGCAAGCGUUGUUCGGAAUUAUUGGGCGUAAAGAGCUCGUAGGCGGUCUGUCGCGUCGGCUGUGAAAACCUGAGGCUCAACCUCGGGCCUGCAGUCGAUACGGGCAGACUAGAGUUCGGUAGGGGAGACUGGAAUUCCUGGUGUAGCGGUGGAAUGCGCAGAUAUCAGGAGGAACACCGGUGGCGAAGGCGGGUCUCUGGGACGGUACUGACGCUGAGACGCGAAAGCGUGGGGAGCGAACAGG
rnacentral:rRNA from 1 species